rnacentral:rRNA from 1 species
AUUGAACGCUGGCGGCAGGCCUAACACAUGCAAGUCGAGCGGCAGCGGGAAAGUAGCUUGCUACUUUUGCCGGCGAGCGGCGGACGGGUGAGUAAUGCCUGGGGAUCUGCCCAGUCGAGGGGGAUAACUACUGGAAACGGUAGCUAAUACCGCAUACGCCCUGCGGGGGAAAGCAGGGGACCUUCGGGCCUUGCGCGAUUGGAUGAACCCAGGCGGGAUUAGCUAGUUGGUGAGGUAAUGGCUCACCAAGGCGACGAUCCCUAGCUGGUCUGAGAGGAUGAUCAGCCACACUGGGACAGAGACACGGUCCAGGCUCCUACGGGAGGCAGCAGUGGGGAAUAUUGCACAAGGGGGGAAACCCGGAUGCAGCCAUGCCGCGUGUGUGAAGAAGGCCUUCGGGUUGUAAAGCACUUUCAGCGAGGAGGAAAGGUUGGUAGCUAAUAACUGCCAGCUGUGACGUUACUCGCAGAAGAAGCACCGGCUAACUCCGUGCCAGCAGCCGCGGUAAAAC